GUGGUAAAGAGAAUAAAAAUACAGCUUAUACUUUAUUUGAAGACACAUUUGAAUUAUCUAACUUGCAGUAAUCUGAUUUUAGGACUAAAAUAAUUCUUUUAAUAAAAUAGCUAUGUCUACUGCAGAAGGGAGUUGAGAUUUGUGCAACAUUGUACAUUGUUUCACCCUUUAUAGAUUUCUUAAUUGAUGAAUUAGGCCAGUUAUGUCAAAAUCCUUUUCCAUGUAAAAAUUGUACAUGGAAGAGUGUACAUGGAAAAGUACAGUGUUCUCAAGUACAUGGACAUAUCCCCACAUGCUGGUCAGAGGACACAUUGCACAAUGAAUGACAAUAUUUAAUAUCUACUUCACUGUGUGAUUAUUCGCAGUUAGUACUGCAGUGGUCUCAAAUAUAGGGAAAAGGAAGAUUAGAACCAGAAAAUGAAUUAAAUGUUUUCCUCCAUUUGCUACAUGUAGCAGCUACUGAUAACCUUCCAUUCCUAUAUGCAGAACAGUAAAAGGCAAAUCACUAAUCUCGCCUUUAAAUAACAAACCUAGGUAUUUGCUACCCUGAAAAGUGCUGCAUCAUUUAGCCUUUGUCAGUUACGCAGCUAUCUCAUUUUCUCCAUGUAUGAAUUUAAUAUUUCUGGUUUGGAUCUUUACUGAUAAAUCUAAAACCACAAAUUCUGAGAAGUCCUGUAGAAUCUUAUUAAUUUAGAUACACAAAGGACUUAAUGGCUGGACCAAGGCAUCCCAUUUGUUUGGUGGAUUUAUUUAUUUAUUUAUUUUAAUGCUUUCCAUUACAGGGCAAAAUGACACCAAACACAGAACUUUCUUACCCCAUAGUUUGCAGAAUCACUUUGCCAUGAAGUAUGCCUGGUCCUGUCCUUUUUUACUUCCUGACCUACAUAAAAGUGGAUCCUAGAACUGUUACAGAGAGGCUGUUAAAUAAGGAUUCCCAACCUGGCCCACUUACGUAAAUUGCAAUGUAUUUUCCUCCUGGUAGUAAGCAAAAUCCUGGGGGGAGGGGGAGGCUAAAAUGUGUCUAGCAUGUAGACUUUUAUUUAGUUCCUCCACUACAGAUACGUGUUCAGUGAAAACGUUUUAACAUGCCCACCUUGUGGAUGCUCCAACACCAAGAUAAGCUUGUAACGGAAUGCAGAAUUGAGAAAACUGCCUUUGUUCCUACUGGGGGGAUACAGCAAAUGCCCCCCAAACCUGUCCCUCGCCCUGAACCCAGCAGGCCAGCGCCUUUGCGCUGCUGCCACACACUGCAGCAACACCACCUGCAUCACCCUCCUCUUGUGUCAGAAGUUACUGACAGGUAAUUGGAGUAUGAAGGACAGUUUGUUCCUGCUUCUCCCUGGUGGAUCCAGUUCCUUCCCGUUCACUGAUCUCAUUCUUUUCAUGCCCUCGAGAUCACGCAGAGGCUUCUGCAUAUCUCUGUAGAUCACAGACAUAGACCAACACCACACAAGUCUCUUAACCACUCCACGGGGAAGUAGAAAUAUGACAUCAUCACAAAGAUCUCUUCUUCUCAGCAAACACGGAGGGAAUGAUUUGCCACAGAACAUACUUAGGUUUUGUAAUCAUUGACUUAAAAAUAGUGAUGCGAUACAACGAUGGCCCGUUUUAACGCCGCUGUAUUUCCCCUGGGCUCACUGUUCCCAAGCCAAGGCUAACGCAGAGCUGCCAUCACCACCCCGGAGCGAGCCCCAUAGCUCACAGCCCCCUCCCGCCCCAGCUCUGCUCUUCUCCAGUGCCGUCCCGCGGGCGCACCGGGAAGACGGAGGCAUCGCUUUGUCAUUCCCCACUUCAUGCUCAUCCUCCUACGUUUAUUUUUUUAUCGUCAACUUCUCUCAGCGUCUCCACAGCGCAACAGAGGGAACCGAAGCCACACGGAACAGAACUCGGACACCACGGACUUCUGGCUCCGCCGAGCAGACGCUGCCCCCCGCUGCCGGGCUCCGGGCUGACGUCACGCCGCGCCGCCGCUGCGUCACC
rnacentral:lncRNA from 1 species